rfam:Rattus norvegicus chromosome 13, whole genome shotgun sequence.
GGGGAUUUAGCUCAGUGGUAGAGCGCUUGUCUACCAAGCACAAGGCCCUGGGUUCAGUCCUCAGCCCCG